rnacentral:rRNA from 1 species
GGGUCAGUAGGUUGGUCGUGCCACCGGUACGUACUGGUCUCACUGAUUCCUCCUUCCUGAAGAACCUUAAUAACAUUAAUUUGGUGUUGCGGGGAAACAGGACUGUUACUUUGAAAAAAUUAGAGUGUUUAAAGCAAGCUAACGCUUGAAUACAUUAGCAUGGAAUAAUGAAAUAGGACGAUCGAUCCUAUUUUGUUGGUUUCUAGGAUUGACGUA